UGGGGAAUAUUGGACAAUGGGCGAAAGCCUGAUCCAGCCAUGCCGCGUGUGUGAAGAAGGUCUUCGGAUUGUAAAGCACUUUAAGUUGGGAGGAAGGGCAUUAACCUAAUACGUUAGUGUUUUGACGUUACCGACAGAAUAAGCACCGGCUAACUCUGUGCCAGCAGCUGCGGUAAUACAGAGGGUGCAAGCGUUAAUCGGAAUUACUGGCGUAAAGCGCGCGUAGGUGGCUUGUUAAGUUGGAUGUGAAAUCCCCGGGCUCAACCUGGGAACUGCAUUCAAAACUGACUGACUAGAGUAUGGUAGAGGGUGGUGGAAUUUCCUGUGUAGCGGUGAAAUGCGUAGAUAUAGGAAGGAACACCAGUGGCGAAGGCGACCACCUGGACUAAUACUGACACUGAGGUGCGAAAGCGUGGGGAGCAAACA
rnacentral:rRNA from 1 species